UGAGUAACCUGCCCCUGACUCUGGGAUAAGCCUGGGAAACUGGGUCUAAUACCGGAUAUGCACCGUGGACCGUAUGGUUCUUGGUGGAAAAGAUUUUUUUGGUCAGGGAUGGACUCGCGGCCUAUCAGCUUGUUGGUGAGGUAAUGGCUCACCAAGGCGACGACGGGUAGCCGGCCUGAGGAGGGCGAUCGGCCACACGUGGGACUGAGACACGGCCCAGACUCCGACGGGAGCAG
rnacentral:rRNA from 1 species